UGAUGAGCAAGAGGCGCCUUACCCUCUUCAUGAAAGAGCAGAAUUAACCGUCUGAGUGGUUGACUGCCCAGAUGACAGGCGCAAACUGAUU
rnacentral:snoRNA from 1 species